rnacentral:lncRNA from 1 species
GGCGGGGAGCAGGGUGAGGGCUCCAGCAUGGCAGGCUGCAGGUCCCGAGCCCUGCCCCCUUGCCCCGCGGGGAGGUGGCUGAGGCCCAGCGAAAAUUCGAGCGCGGCGCCGGCGGGCCAUCACUGUUGGGGGACCCGGUGCACCCUCCGCAGCUGCUGGCCCGGGUGCUAAGCCUCUCUCACUGCCCAGGGCCGGCGGCGCCAGCCGACCGCUCAGAGUGCGGGGCGCGCCGAACCCGCGCCCACCCGGAAGUCGCGCUGGACCUGCGAGCACCGCAGGCAGCCCAGGUUCCGGCCCGCGCCUCUCCCUCCACACCUCCCCGCGGGCAGAGGGAGCCCGCUCAGGCCUCAGCCAGCACAGAGAGGGGCUCCCACGGUGCAGCUGCGGGCUGAAGGGCUCCUCAAGCGCGGCCAGAGUGGGCUGAGGCCGAGGAGGCGCCGAGAGCCAGCGAGGGAUGCCAGCAAGCUGUCACCUCUCAGAAAUCCAGGAAGAACAUCAAUAAUGUUCGAAGUUAUAAAUUGCGGAGGCCAGAAGUCAGAAAACAAGGUGUCUGCAGGACCAG